UACAGGGGUCUCAAGCGUUGUUCGGAUUCAUUGGGCGUAAAGGGUGCGUAGGCGGCGCGGUGAGUCGGAUGUGAAAUCUCGGAGCUUAACUCCGAAACUGCAUUCGAUACUGCCGUGCUUGAGGACUGGAGAGGAGACUGGAAUUUACGGUGUAGCGGUGAAAUGCGUAGAUAUCGUAAGGAAGACCAGUGGCGAAGGCGGGUCUCUGGACAGUUCCUGACGCUGAGGCACGAAGGCCAGGGGAGCAAACGGG
rnacentral:rRNA from 1 species